UAUGGUCAUGCCACACUGAAAUACCAGUUCUCAUACGAUCACUGAAGUUAAGCAACAUUGAGCCUGGUCAGUAUCAUGAGGGUGAUUGCUUAUGAAUAUCAGAUGCU